UCUCUCUGUGUUGCCCAGGCUGGACUGCAGUGGUGUGAUCAUGGCUCACUGUAGCCUCCACCUCACAGGCUCAAGCUGUUCUCCCACCUCAGCCUUCCAAGUAGCUGGGACCACAGUCUGUCUCACCUCCUAUCAUGUAAGAUGGGCCUGCUACCAUUCCGCCAUGAUUGUAAGUUUCCUGAGACCUCCCCAGCCAUGAAGAACUGUUUCCCCAUGCCCCUUUGUAUCCACUCACUGCUGUACCUCUGGACAUCCUCCCAUAUCCAGACAAAUACUAAUCUGCUUUCUGUCAUAAGUUAGUUUAGAAGUUUAUAUAUAUUAAAUUGUAUUCAUGUUUGUCAGGAUUUUUACAUUUAGCAUAAUUAUUUUGGCAUUCAUCCACAUUGUAGCAUAUAUCAAUAGUCCAUUCCUAGAAUAUUAGUGCACAAUAUUCCAUUGUACUAAUAUAUCAGGCCAGGAGGGGUGGCUCACGUCUGUAUCCCAACACUUAAGAAGGCCAAGGCAGGAGGAUUGCUUGAGGCCAGGACUUCAAGAUCAGGCUGGGCAAUAUAGCAAUACCCUGCUCUACAAAAAAAUAAGAUUAGAUUGAUGUGGCGGCAUGCCCCUAUAGUCCCAGCUACUUGGAAGGCUGAGGUAGGAGGAUCUUUUGAAUCCAGAAAUCAGAGUUACAGUGAGCUAUGAUUGCACCAUUGCACUCCAGCCUGGGUGAAACACAUAUAUUGUGAUAUAUAUCAUAUUUGGUUUAUUCAUUCACCUUUUCAUAAACAUUUACGUUUCUCACUGGGGCUGUUAAAAAUAAAGCUGUUAUGAACAUUCAUAUAUAAGACUUUGUAUAGACAUAAGCUUUUAUUUCUCUUGGUAAAUACUUAGCAGUAAAAUGGCCAUACAGUAAGUGUCUGUUUAAUUUUUUGAGGAACUAUUAAACUGUUUUCUAAAAUGGUGAUACCAUUUUACAUUCCCAGCAUCAGUGUAUGAGGCCUCCAGUUGCUCCAUAUGUUCACUAGUGCUUGGUGUGGCCAACCUCUUUAUUUUAUUUUAUUAUUUUAUUUUUGAGACAGAGUCUUGCUCUGUCACCCAGGCUGGAGUGCAGUGACGUGAUCGUGACUCACUGUAGCCUCGACUUCCCUGGCUCAAGCAAUCCUCCUGCCUCAGCCUCCCAAGUAACUAGGACCACAGGUGCAUGCCACUAUACCUGGCUAACUUUUAAAAUUGUUUUGUAGAGACUGCGUCUCACCUGCUUGCCCAGACUGGUUUCAAACCCUGGGCUCAAGUGAUCCUCCUGCCUUGGCCUCUCAAAGUGCAGGGAUUACAGGCAUGCACCACAGUUGAAAAAGUAACCCUUUCUCCACCAAUUUGCCUUUGCUCUUUUGUCAAAAAUUAGUUGUCCAUAUGUGUGGGUCUGUUUCAGGAUUCUCUCUUCUGUCCUGUUGCUCUGUUUAUCUUUAUGUCAAUGCCAUACUCUAUUGAUUACUGUAGCUUUAUAAUAGUUCUUGAACUCAGGUAGUUAAAGUCCUCCAAGUUUGUUCUUUUUUCACAGUUGUUGCCUAUUCCAAGUCUUUUGCAUUUCUCUACAAAUUUUGAAAUCAACUUGUCAAUUUCAAAAACCCUAUUAGGAUUCUGAAUCUAUACAUCAAUUUGGGUAGAAUUGAUAUCUGUACAAUACUGAGUCAUUCAAUCUGAAAACACAAUCUAUCUCUUAAUUCAUCUAGUUCUUUAAUUUCUUUCAGCAAUGUUUUAAUAGUUUUAAUAUACAGGCAGGUCUUGCACAUUUUUUGUCAGAUUUAUCCUUACAUAUUUCAUUUUUGGAUGCUAUUGUAAAUGGCAUGUUAAAAGUUUCAGUUUCCAAUUUUCAAACAUUUGUUGCUGGUACAUAAAAAUACAGUUGAUUUCUGUUUAUUAGUCAUGUAUUUGGCAACCUGGCUAAACUCACUUAAUUAUAAAUGCUUUUCUGUUGUUGUAGAUUCCACUGGAUUUUCUACAAAGCAAACAUGUUGUUUGUGAUUAAAGAUAGUUUUUCUUCUUCCUUUUCAACCUGUAUGUCUUUUGUUUCUUUUUCUUUCUUUAUUACACUGACUAGAACCUCCAGUACAAUGUCACAUAGAAGUGGUGAGAACAGCAACCUUGUUUCUGACAUUAGAGGGAAAAUAUUCUUUUUCACCAUUAAAUACAACAUUAGCUAUAAUUUUUUUAUGGAUGGACUUGAUCAGAAUGAGGAAGUUGCCAUCUAUUUCUCAUUUGCUGAGUAUUUAUCAAGAAUUGAUGUUGGAUUUUAUAAAAAAAAGUUUGCAUUUAUUGAGAUGGUUGUGUGGAUUUUUUUUCUGGUUCAUUAAUAUGGAGAAUUACAUUGUUUGAAUCUUGAAUGUUAAAACCAAGCUUGCAGUCUUGGGAUAAACCCUACUUGGUUGUGUAUUAUCCUUUUGUUUAUAUUGAUGUAUUCAAUUUGUUAACAUUUUGUCAAGAAUUUUCAUGUCUAUGCUGAUGAGAAAUAUUAGAUUGUAGUUUUCUUUUCCCAUUAUAACUCUUCUAGUUUUGGCAUGCUGGUUUCAUAAAAUGAGUUGGGAAGUUUUCCCACCUCUUCAUUUUUUCUUGAGGGGACUUGUGUAGAAUCAUAUUAUUUCUUCCUUAAAUGUUUGGCAGAAUUCCCCAGUGAAACCAUCUGGGCUUUGAGUCCUUGUAGGAAAGUUUUGUAGCUACAAAUUCAAUGUAUUUAAUGAAGGUGAUUUUGGGGAGCUUGUGACUUUCAAGGAAUUUCUCCUUGAGUAAGCUUUGGUGGUUUGUCUUUCAAACCACCAAUGUGGCAUAACAUUUUUUUAAAUUUCCCUUAUUAUCUUUCUUCUUUAAUUUUUUUUAAAGGGGUAGGGUCUCACUCUGUUGCCCAGACUGGAGUGCAGUGAUGUUAUCAUAGCUCACUGCAGCCUCAAAUUUCUGGGCUCAAGCCAUCUUCUGAGUAGCUGGGACUACAGGUGCACAACACCAUGUCUGGUUUAUUUUUUAUAGAGAUAGGGUCUUGCUAUGUUGCCCAGGCUGGUCUCAAACUCCUGGCCUCAAGUGAUCCUCCCAUUCAGCCUCCCCAAACGGUAGGUUACAGUUGUGAGCCAUCAUGCCCGGCACCCUAAUUGUCUUUCUAUUAUCUGUGGAAUCUAUAGUGAUGUCACCUCCCUCAUACCCGAUACUGGAAAUUUAUAUAUUCUCAUUGCCCUCUGUUUAGUCUGGCUAGAGUUUUAUAAAUUUCAUUGUAAUUUUCCAAAAAACAGCUUUUGAUUUUACUGAUUUUUCUCUGUUGUUUUUUAUUUUCUAUUUCAUUGAUUAAUAUUCUCAUAUUUGGUUCUAUUCUGCUUUUUCCCCUCAAGUUUUGUAAAGUGGCAGCUGAGGUCAGUGAGUUGAAACCUUUCUUCUUUUCUAAUAUAGGCAUAUAAUGCUAAAAAUAUUUACUAAACACUGCUUUAGCUUCAUUGCACAAAUUUACAUGUGAUUUGUUUUUAAUUUCAUUUAAUGCAAAAUACUUUCUAAUUUCCCUUUUAUUAUCUGACACAUCAGUUAUUUACAAAUAUGGUGUUUUUAUUUAUUUUUUUUUUUGAGAUGGUGUCUUGCUCUGUUGCCCAGGCUGGAGGUUGGAGUGUGGUGGCGUGAUCUCGGCUCACUGCAACCUCUGCCUCCCAAGUUCAAGUGAUCCGUCUGCCUCAGCCUCCUGAGUCGCUGGGACUACAGAUGUGCACCACCGUGUCCGGCUAAUUUUUGUAUUUUUAGUGGAGACAGGGUUUCACCAUGUUAUCCAGGCUGGUCUCAAACUCCUGACCUCAAGUGAUCCACCCACCCUGGCCUCCCAAAGUGCUGGGAUUACAGAUGUGAGCUACUGCACUCGGCUUUAAUUUCCAAGUACUUUGGGAUUUCCAAACAUUUGAGAUAAUCUUUCUGUUGUUGAUUUCUAGCUCAAUUUCACUGUGGUCAGAGAACAUGUAUUGUAUGAGUCAAAUCAUUUUAAAUUUAUUGAGAAUUGUUUUAUGUCCAUGAAUAUGGCCUAUCUUGGUAAAUGAUCCAUGUACACUUAGAAAGAAUGUAUAAAAUAUUUUUGGUGAAGUAUAAAAUAAAUGUCAAUCAGGUCAACAGUGUUAUUUAAGUUUCCUAUAUACUUACUAUCUGUCUACUUUUCUCAUCAGUUGUUAAGGAAAGGAUAUUGAAAUCUCCAACUAUAUUUGUGAAUGUAUCUAUUUUUCUUUUUAGUUCUAUCAAUUUUUACUUUAUUUAUUUUGAGAUCCUUAUUAGGUACAUAUAUGUUUAGUAUUGUUAUGAACUCUUGAGGAGUUGAUGUCUUUUUCAUUAUGAAAUGACCCUCUGUAUCCCUGAUAGUAUUCUCUAGUCUGAAAUCAGCUUUGUCUAACAUUAAUGUAGCCACUCCAGCUAUCUUUUGAUUAGUGUUAUCAUGGUAUAUAUUAUUCCACCCUUUCACUUUUAGUGAACUUGUAUCUUCAUAUUUAAAGUGUGAUUUUUGUAGCCAGGAUAUAGUUUGGUGUUGCUUUUUAAAUUCAGUCUCUCAAUCUCUGCCAUUUAACUGAAAUGUUUAGAUGACUUAUAUAAAAUGUAUUUUUUUUUUUUUUUUGAGGCGGAGUUUCACUCUGUUGCCCAGGUUGGAGUGCAAUGGCGUGAUCUCAGCUCAUCGCAACAACCUCUGCCUCCUGGGCUCAAGUGAUCCUCCCAGCUCAGCCUCCCAGUCUGUGUGAUUACAGGUGCUUACCACUACACCUGGCUAAUUUUUAUAUUUUUAGGAGAGACAGAGUUUCACCAUAUUGCCCAGGGUGGUCUCAAACUCCUGGCCUCAAAUGAUCCACCUGCCACUACAUCUGGCCAAAAUGUGAUUACUGAUAUGGUUGGGUUUGAAAUGUGAUUAUUGACGUGGCUGGAUUUAAUAUAAUGUUGGUAUUUGUUUUGUAUUUGUUUUGUCAGUUAUUUGUUCCCUUUUAUCUUUUUUCUGCCUGCUUUUGGAUUGAACAUUUUUAUAAUUCCCUUUUAUCAUUUUUGUUGGCUUAUUAGCUAUAGCUAUUUGUUUUAUUUUGUUUUGUUUUAGUGAUUUCUUUAGGAUUUAUAUAAUACACCUUGAACUUACCAUAGUCUACUUUCAAUUGAUGUUAUGCCACUUCACAUAUAGUAAAAUAAUUUUAUAAUAAACUUGCAUUUCUAGCCUCUGAGCAUUUGUGCUAUUGUCAUGCGUAUUGCUUCCACAUAUGUUAUAAAUGCCACGGUGCAUUGUAAUUAUCUUUACUUUAAAUAAUUUGUUAUUGUUUCAAGAUAUUUAAGUGAUUAAAAAAACUGUAUUGAUUGACAUAA